GACGAACGCUGGCGGCGUGCUUAACACAUGCAAGUCGAGCGGUAAGGCCCUUUCGGGGGUACGACGAGNGGCGAACGGGUAGAGUAACACGUGGGUGACCUGCCCUCAGCUCUGGGAGUAAGCCUGGGAAACCGGGGUCUAAUACUGGAUAUGACUCCAUGACGCAUGUUGUGGGGUGGAAAGCCUUGUGCGGCUGAGGAUGGGCCCGCGGCCUAUCAGCUUGUUGGUGGGGUGAGGCCUACCAAGGCGACGACGGGUAGCCGGCC
rnacentral:rRNA from 1 species